rnacentral:rRNA from 1 species
AUUGAACGCUGGCGGCAUGCCUUACACAUGCAAGUCGAACGGCAGCAUGGAGAGCUUGCUCUCUGAUGGCGAGUGGCGAACGGGUGAGUAAUGCAUCGGAACGUACCGUGUAAUGGGGGAUAACGUAGCGAAAGUUACGCUAAUACCGCAUACGACCUGAGGGUGAAAGCAGGGGAUCGCAAGACCUUGCGUUAUACGAGCGGCCGAUGUCAGAUUAGCUAGUUGGUGAGGUAAAGGCUCACCAAGGCGACGGUCUGUAGCGGGUCUGAGAGGAUGAUCCGCCACACUGGGACUGAGACACGGCCCAGACUCCUACGGGAGGCAGCAGUGGGGAAUUUUGGACAAUGGGGGCAACCCUGAUCCAGCCAUGCCGCGUGAGUGAAGAGGGCCUUCGGGUUGUAAAGCUCUUUCGGCCGGGAAGAAAUCGCACAGGCUAAUACUCUGUGUGGAUGACGGUACCGGCAUAAGAAGCACCGGCUAACUACGUGCCAGCCGCCGCGGUAA